AACAAUAUUUUUGGGUUUGAGUUGUAUCAUACUUCAAUCAUGCCUAUUUGAUUUUGAAUGUAAGUGGUUUUAAAUUUUACCCACCGUGGGAGGCCAGGAAUCUCCGCUGUGGUGGAGAGCUCAUGGGAGUGGAUAAGCUCCUUCUCUGUUCUAACUUCUCAGGGAGCUGGUGGACCAGAGGAGGAAGAUAAUUGAUGGCCGCCAUGCCUGAAACCUCUGCUUAAAGAGCAGUUCUUUGUUCACUGCAAGUUUCAUGUAGACUCUCACAAGGGUGAUUGCAAUAUGUAUUACUUUGACUGCACCAACGGUGAGCUUUGCUCUCUUUGUCUUGCCCAUCACAAAGCUCACCUCACCAUCCAAUCCAAAUAGGUCGAUCUUUAGGUCUAUAUAUCAAUAGCCUGGCACAAUGCUUGGAUCCAUGCAGGUCUGACUCCUUAAAUAUAUCCCAUCAAAAGUUCUGAUUUUGUUUCUUACCCUCUAUCUAAUAAUCUAAAACUUUUUAAUACUAUCUGAUUUGAUCAAUGGAUUCUACUUGCAACUUCUUUCUCAUAGGUGUAUAAUACUCCAGUCAUGCCUAUUUGAUUUUGAAUGUAGGUAGUUUUUAAUGUUACCCAGCUCCCUAUUAUUUUCAAUUUCUAUCUUUUUUUCUCAAAAUUGGCCAUUGUUUUAAGAUUAUGCAAGUAAAUUUUGGAUUAAACUGAACCUUAUACAAGUUCUUGGUUGUUUAUGUGAUCUAUGGAGCAUUGUGUGUUGCAGAGAGAGAGAGAGUUCCUGCUCAGAAAGGUGGAACUGCAGGAACAAAAAGCAAUGAGGUUGAGAAAAGAGCAGCAGCUGAUGUGGCUUCAGCCUUGGAAUCUUACGAAGCAGACAAUGGAGAAGGCUACAAUGAUCAUUACCUCGUGAAGAUCACAAUCAUGAGCGGUUGUAAAUGCAUCGAUGUCCAAUCUAAAACCGUCAAAUAAACGCGAAGGGUCUUGAAAGGAACAUGAAAAUGUAGCUUACUUAUUGUUCUUAUGUACUUUUUGUUUUCAAGGCACCAUUGCUCAGCAGAAGAAAAUGAUCGUUAACAGAACUAUAAGACUGAUAAGAAUUAUAAGACUCUCUCUACUUAACU